CUGGUGUGGCCUUGAGCACAACUGUUGCACCUGGAAGUUCCAGUACAGAAGCCACAACUUCCACGGGAGUCGGUAGAACCACUGUAGUGGGAUGGAAAACAGGAGCUACCACUAGAGGAUCAGCAAACCAAGGAACUGGAAGCACAAUAGGUAAAUAUGGCAGCAAAGUGGACCACUUGUCUUACUGCCAUUGAAUUCUAGAAAAAUGGAGUCCUCUGUUGAGGAAUUUGCAUCUUUAUUUGGUUUGGGAAUAAAACUAUGCAUGAGAAAAUACA
rnacentral:lncRNA from 13 species